UACGGAGGGGGCUAGCGUUGUUCGGAAUUACUGGGCGUAAAGCGCGCGUAGGCGGACCUGCAAGUCAGGGGUGAAAUCCCGGGGCUCAACCUCGGAACUGCCUUUGAUACUGCAAGUCUCGAGUUCGGGAGAGGUGAGUGGAAUUCCUAGUGUAGAGGUGAAAUUCGUAGAUAUUAGGAAGAACACCAGUGGCGAAGGCGGCUCACUGGCCCGAUACUGACGCUGAGGUGCGAAAGCGUGGGGAGCAAACAGG
rnacentral:rRNA from 1 species